UUAAAGUAGAUCUCUCAAAGGCUUAUGACAAAAUUUCCUAGGAAUUUAUUCAGAGGGUGCUUAUGGAGAUUCAGUUACUUGAACAAUUGAUAAAUAUUAUUAUGCACAUGAUCACAAGCGUGGAGACUAAUAUCAAAUUAAAUGGUGCUUAAAAUGAAUAUUUUAAACCUCAAUGAGGAAUUCACCAGCGUGAUACGAUAUCAAUGUAUUUAUUUGUUUUGUGCAUUGAUAAGCUAUAUCACCUCAUCUCUCAUGCAGUUUCAAAG
rnacentral:lncRNA from 1 species